rnacentral:rRNA from 1 species
AUUGAACGCUGGCGGCAUGCCUUACACAUGCAAGUCGAACGGCAGCACGGGAGCAAUCCUGGUGGCGAGUGGCGAACGGGUGAGUAAAGUAUCGGAACGUGCCCAGUCGUGGGGGAUAACGUAGCGAAAGUUACGCUAAUACCGCAUACGAUCUAUGGAUGAAAGCGGGGGAUCGCAAGACCUCGCGCGAUUGGAGCGGCCGAUAUCAGAUUAGGUAGUUGGUGGGGUAAAGGCUCACCAAGCCGACGAUCGGUAGCUGGUCUGAGAGGACGACCAGCAACACCGGAGCUGAGACACGGCCCAGACUCCUACGGGAGGCAGCAGUGGGGAAUUUUGGACAAUGGGCGAAAGCCUGAUCCAGCCAUGCCGCGUGCAGGAUGAAGGCCUUCGGGUUGUAAACUGCUUUUGUACGGAACGAAAAGGUUUGGGCUAAUAAGCUGAGCUCAUGACGGUACCGUAAGAAUAAGCACCGGCUAACUACGUGCCAGCCGCCGCAGUAA